rnacentral:rRNA from 1 species
GACGAACGCUGGCGGCGUGCCUAACACAUGCAAGUCGAGCGGAGUUGACAAGAGGAAGUUUUCGGAUGGAAUCUUGCCAGCUUAGCGGCGGACGGGUGAGUAACGCGUGAGCGACCAACCUUGCACAGGGGGCUAACGGACCGAAAGGUUCACUAAUACCGCAUGAAACGACGGUGUUGCAUGACACAGGGGUCAAAGGAGGAAUCCGGUGCAAGACGGGCUCCCGUCCGAUUAGGUAGUUUGAGGGGUAACGGCCCACCAAGCCUAUGAUCCGUAGCCGACCUGAGAGGGUGAUCGGCCACAUUGGAACUGAGAUACGGUCCAAACUCCUACGGGAGGCAGCAGUGGGGAAUAUUGGGCAAUGGGGGAAACCCUGACCCAGCAACGCCGCGUGAAGGAAGAAGGUUUUCGGAUUGUAAACUUCUGUCCUUGGUGAAGAGAAGAAGACGGUAGCCAAGGAGGAAGCCCCGGCUAACUACGUGCCAGCAGCCGCCGUAA